GAUGAACGCUGGCGGCGUGCCUAAUACAUGCAAGUCGAGCGAACAGACGAGGAGCUUGCUCCUCUGACGUUAGCGGCGGACGGGUGAGUAACACGUGGAUAACCUACCUAUAAGACUGGGAUAACUUCGGGAAACCGGAGCUAAUACCGGAUAAUAUAUUGAACCGCAUGGUUCAAUAGUGAAAGACGGUUUUGCUGUCACUUAUAGAUGGAUCCGCGCCGCAUUAGCUAGUUGGUAAGGUAACGGCUUACCAAGGCGACGAUGCGUAGCCGACCUGAGAGGGUGAUCGGCCACACUGGAACGGAGACACGGUCCAGACUCCUACGGGAGGCAGCAGUAGGGAAUCUUCCGCAAUGGGCGAAAGCCUGACGGAGCAACGCCGCGUGAGUGAUGAAGGUCUUCGGAGCGUAAAACCCUGUUAUUAGGGAAGAACAAAUGUGUAAGUAACUAUGCACGUCUUGACGGUACCUAAUCAGAAAGCCACGGCUAACUACGUG
rnacentral:rRNA from 1 species